GUCUUUUUACCUCCAUAAAAAGAUCAGAUGUUUUUAUUACUACAUGUAAUAAAUGAGUCUCUGAAGGAGGUGAAGACCUCUGUAGAACCUCUGGAUCACCACUUCAUCACUACAUUAAGAGGAGCAUCGUGGUGCAAUGAGGUAUCACACUGGAUGGUGCGUUCAAUGUCACUGGGGUUUUCAUCAUUGAAUUGAACACGAUCAUAGCUGUGCACUGGUGUUAUUCUAUUGAUUAGUGUCAACAUGACAGCGGUGUCCCACUAUUCUCAUGUCUUUAUUGAUCACAUAGUGUCAGAAUCAGGGCUGUAUCCUGGUGGACACUAAAUGCAUUUUAUCCAUUGGUCUAAUUCAUGAAGCGUCGUCAGUCUGACUACUGUAACUCUCUCCUGCAGGUCUCCUGCUACCACCAUUCCACCUCUGCAGCUCAUCCACAAUGCAGCAGCUCCACUGCUCUUUAACCUUCCUAAGUCCUCUAAACAUGGUGCUCACGUACCGUGCUGUGAAUGGAUGGGGUCCAGCUUACAUCCAGGACCUGGUCCAACCCGACAUCCCGACCCGCACUCUCCGCUCUGCAUGUGAUAAACUGCUUGUUCCUCCUCACUGAGAGCAAAACACUCGACUAGAUCUCCACUCUUUGCUGUCCUGCUCCUAAAUGGUGGAAGGAGGUCUCUGAAGACAUCAGGACCACAGAGAGCCUUCACAUCUUCAGACUAAAGACACACCUCUUCAGACUCUACCUCCACUAACACACUAACUAACUGUAGCACUUACAUUGGACUUAUAAUGGUUCUUAUCUACAGCAAGUUGUAAAGCGGCUUAUUAGCGUCAGCUAAUUGACAUGUGAUGUAAUGAAGGUGUGAAGGUGUGGACUCUGCUAUGAAUCAGGCUGAGGACCCAGAGGACGGAGUCCCUCCCUCUGAAGCCCCUCUGUGUGGGGAACAUGACAGCCAGACCAAAGCUCAGAGGAUCCAUCAGAGACCAGGACCUGGACCUGGACCCAGCUGUGUGUCUAUGAAGAGUAACUGGUCUAUGGAGCUUCCUAUAGAAUUCAAAGAUGUUGGUCCCUCUGUUGAUGCAAGGGCCCUUCAGCAGUGUCCAGUGAGGGAGGGAGAGCUCCAUGGAGGACUUGGUGAGACCUGUUGGGACUAAACCAAACUGACUGGUGAAGAAAACAGUGAGCUGAAAGACUGAGGUGUUGAUUCUCAGUGGGACCAGCAGGACCAGUAGACCUGAACCACUACAGGGAGUCAUGUGGUCA
ensembl:lncRNA